GAUGAACGCUGGCGGCGUGCUUAACACAUGCAAGUCGAACGGUGAAGCAGAGCUUGCUCUGUGGAUCAGUGGCGAACGGGUGAGUAACACGUGAGCAACCUGCCCCUGACUCUGGGAUAAGCGCUGGAAACGGCGACUAAUACCGGAUAUGAGCUGCGACCGCAUGGUCAGCAGUUGGAAAGAUUUUUCGGUCUGGGAUGGGCUCACGGCCUAUCAGCUUGUUGGUGAGGUAAUGGCUCACCAAGGCGUCGACGGGUAGCCGGCCUGAGAGGGUGACCGGCCACACUGGGACUGAGACACGGCCCAGACUCCUACGGGAGGCAGCGGUGGGGAAGAGUGCACAAUGGGCGAAAGCCAGAUGCAGCAACGCCGCGUGAGGGAUGACGGCCUUCGGUUUGUAAACCUCUUUUAGCAGGGAAGAAGCGAAAGUGACGGUACCUGCAGAAAAAGCGCCGGCUAACUACGUG
rnacentral:rRNA from 1 species